GCGGUCGUCGUCUAGAGCAUCAAAGCGGAAAGCCUGGACUAGGAUACGAGCCUUCCACGCUCGCGACCCGGGUUCAAAUCCCGGCGACCGCA
rnacentral:tRNA from 1 species